rnacentral:rRNA from 1 species
GACGAACGCUGGCGGCGUGCUUAACACAUGCGAGUCGAACGGAAAGGCCCUGCUUUUGUGGGGUGCUCGAGUGGCGAACGGGUGAGUAACACGUGAGUAACCUGCCCUUGACUUUGGGAUAACUUCAGGAAACUGGGGCUAAUACCGGAUAGGAGCUCCUGCUGCAUGGUGGGGGUUGGAAAGUUUCGGCGGUUGGGGAUGGACUCGCGGCUUAUCAGCUUGUUGGUGGGGUAGUGGCUUACCAAGGCUUUGACGGGUAGCCGGCCUGAGAGGGUGACCGGCCACAUUGGGACUGGGAUCCGGCCCAGACUCCUACGGGAGGCAGCAGUGGGGAAUAUUGCACAAUGGGCGGAAGCCUGAUGCAGCAACGCCGCGUGCGGGAUGACGGCCUUCGGGUUGUAAACCGCUUUCGCCUGUGACGAAGCGUGAGUGACGGUAAUGGGUAAAGAAGCACCGGCUAACUACGUG